AGUGAACGCUGGCGGUAGGCCUAACACAUGCAAGUCGAACGGCAGCACAGUAAGAGCUUGCUCUUACGGGUGGCGAGUGGCGGACGGGUGAGGAAUACAUCGGAAUCUACUUUUUCGUGGGGGAUAACGUAGGGAAACUUACGCUAAUACCGCAUACGACCUACGGGUGAAAGCAGUGGAUCUUCGGACCUUGCGCGAUUGAAUGAGCCGAUGUCGGAUUAGCUAGUUGGCGGGGUAAAGGCCCACCAAGGCGACGAUCCGUAGCUGGUCUGAGAGGAUGAUCAGCCACACUGGAACUGAGACACGGUCCAGACUCCUACGGGAGGCAGCAGCGGGGAAUAUUGGACAAUGGGCGCAAGCCUGAUCCAGCCAUACCGCGUGGGUGAAGAAGGCCUUCGGGUUGUAAAGCCCUUUUGUUGGGAAAGAAAAGCAGCAGGUUAAUACCCCGCUGUUCUGACGGUACCCAAAGAAUAAGCACCGGCUAACUUCGUG
rnacentral:rRNA from 1 species